rnacentral:tRNA from 1 species
CAAACUAAGUCUUAGGGACAAUAUUAUUUACAAUAAUAUUUUGAUUUGUGCAAUUCAGUCUGGUUUGA